GCCUAAUACAUGCAAGUCGUGGGAGACCACCGGGGCAACUCGGUGUGUAAACCGGCGAACGGGCGAGUAAUACAUAGCCAACCUACCCUCCCGACUGGGAUAACCUGCCGAAAGGUGGACUAAUACCGGAUAUCGUUGCGAGGGCGCAUGCACUUGCAACCAAAGCUACCCGAAUGGGAUGCGCAGGGGGACGGGGCUAUGGCCUAUCAGCUUGUUGGUGAGGUAACGGCUUACCAAGGCUGCGACGGGUAGGCGAGCUGAGAGGCAGGUCGCCCGCAUGGGAACUGAGACACGGUCCCGACCCCUACGGGGGGCAGCAGUAGGGAAUCUUGCGCAAUGGCCGAAAGGCUGACGCAGCGACGCCGCGUGAGGGAUGAAGGCUUUCGGGUUGUAAACCUCGCUCUGCCUGGAAGAAGACUGACGUUACAGGAAGAGAAGUGCCGGCUAACUCCGUGCCAGCAGCUGCGGUAAUACGGAGAGCACAAGCGUUACCCGGAUUCACUGGGCGUAGAGGGUGCGUAGGCGGCCGAAUAACUUGUGUGUGAAAAGCUCUGGCUUACCCAGAGCCCUGCACGCAAAAAUGUCCGGCUAGAGGGCGCUAGAGGUGAGCGGAAUUCCAGGUGUAGCGGUGAAAUGCGUUGAUAUCUGGAGGAACGCCGAAGGUGUAGACAGCUCACUGGGGCGCUCCUGACGCUGAAGCACGAAAGCUGGGGGAGCAAACCGGAUUAGAUACCCGGGUAGUCCCAGCCCUAAACGAUGUGGACUAGACGUAGGGGCUUGUCUCCUGUGUCGUAGCUAACGCGAUAAGUCCACCGCCUGGGUAGUACGGCCGCAAGGCUAAAACUCAAAGGAAUUGGCGGGGGCCCGCACAAGCGGUGGAACACGUGGUUCAAUUCGAUGCAAACCGAAGAACCUUACCUGGGCUCGAACGGCUAGUAGUAGAAGUCUGAAAGGAUGACGAUCCGUCGUAAGAUGGAAGCUAGUCGAGGCGUUGCAUGGCUGUCGUCAGCUCGUGUCGUGAGAUGUUGGGUUAAGUCCCGCAACGAGCGAAACCCCUAUCUUCAGUUGCGACCCGAAAGGGGCACUCUGAAGAGACUGCCGGUGUCAAACCGGAGGAAGGUGGGGACGACGUCAAGUCCGCAUGGCCCUUAUGUCCAGGGCGACACACGUGUUACAAUGGCCGGUACAAAAGGCUGCGAACCCGCGAGGGGGAGCUAAUCCUCUAAAACCGGCCUCAGUGCGAAUCGGAGGCUGCAAUUCGCCUCCGUGAAGCCGGAAUCGCUAGUAAUCGCGGGUCAGCGAUACCGCGGUGAAUAUGUUCCCGGGCCUUGCACACACCGCCCGUCACA
rnacentral:rRNA from 1 species